GAGCGUACUUCAAAUCCGUCUGGAUGUCCGACAGGCCCAUGGGGUCGAAUCCCAUA
rnacentral:tRNA from 13 species